GAUGAAGAACGUAGCGAAAUGCGAUAAGUAAUGUGAAUUGCAGAAUUCAGUGAAUCAUCGAAUCUUUGAACGCACCUUGCGCUCCUUGGUAUUCCGAGGAGCAUGCCUGUUUGAGUGUCAUUAAAUUCUCAACCAUUAUCAACUUUUGCUGAUAAUGGCUUGGAUGUGGGGGUCUAUUUUGCUGGCUUCUCAGAUAGUCAGCUCCCCUUAAAUGCAUUAGCCGGUGCCCCGCGUGGACUGUCUAUUGGUGUGAUAAUUAUCUACGCUAUAGACAUCUGCAAUCAUAUGGGUUUGCGCUGCUUCUAACAGUCUGUUGAUUCAGACAAUACAUGACAAUUUGACCUCAAAUCAGGUAGGACUUCCCGCUGAACUUAAGCAUAUCAAUAAGCGGAGGA
rnacentral:misc_RNA from 1 species